GAGGAUGUAGCUCAGUGGUAGAUCCUGAGCCUAGCAUGCACAAGGCCCUGGGUUCAAUCCCCAGUACCUUCA
rnacentral:tRNA from 1 species